UACAGAGGUCCCGAGCGUUGUUCAGAUUCACUGGGCGUAAAGGGUGCGUAGGUGGUCGGGUAAGUCUGAGGUGAAAUCUCCGAGCCCAACUCGGAAACUGCCUUGGAUACUAUUCGGCUAGAGGGUUGGAGGGGGGACUGGAAUUCUCGGUGUAGCAGUGAAAUGCGUAGAUAUCGAGAGGAACACCAGUGGCGAAGGCGAGUCCCUGGACAACUCCUGACACUGAGGCACGAAAGCUAGGGGAGCAAACAGG
rnacentral:rRNA from 1 species